UACAGAGGUGGCCAGCGUUGUUCGGAAUUACUGGGCGUAAAGGGCGCGUAGGCGGCCUUCUCAGUCAGACGUGAAAUCCCCCGGCUUAACCUGGGAACUGCGUCUGAUACUGGAGGGCUUGAGUGCGGGAGAGGGAUGUGGAAUUCCAGGUGUAGCGGUGAAAUGCGUAGAUAUCUGGAGGAACACCGGUGGCGAAGGCGGCAUCCUGGACCGACACUGACGCUGAGGCGCGAAAGCGUGGGGAGCAAACAGG
rnacentral:rRNA from 1 species